AGAGAGAGACAUGCGCGCAUAUCAAUAAGCGGAGGAAAAGAAACUAACAAGGAUUCCCCUAGUAACGGCGAGUGAAGCGGGAAGAGCUCAAAUUUGAAAUCUUAAAGGGUUUCCCCUUACGAAUUGUAGUUUAAAGAAGUGUUUUCUGUUGAGGUUUUGGUAAAAGUUCUUUGGAAUAGGACAUCAUAGAGGGUGAGAAUCCCGUAUUUGACCUUUACUUUCAACUUUGUGAUACACUCUCAAAGAGUCGGAUUGUUUGGGAAUGCAGUCCAAAAUGGGUGGUAAAUUUCAUCUAAAGCUAAAUAUUGGCGAGAGACCGAUAGCGAACAAGUACCGUGAGGGAAAGAUGAAAAGAACUUUGAAAAGAGAGUUAAACAGUACGUGAAAUUGUCAAAAGGGAAGCGUUUGACACCAGUGUUGUUUUUCUGAAAAUCAAUUAAAGAACUGUUUAUGCUAAGCUGUUUAGACUUUAUCAGCUAACUGUUUAGUUUUGAGCUUUUCUUUAAUGCACUUUUCAGUUAACAAGUCAACAUCAAUUUCUUUUGCUGUAAAAAAGCUUGAGGAAGGUGGCUUGAGAUUCGUCUUAAGUGUUUAUAGCCUCUUGCCUAUGCAGUCGGAGAGAUUGAGGUCUGCAGCGUAGAUCCUUCGGGGCUAAAUGCAUUUGUGCUAAGUUAUAGCAUUUUAUAGACAACUUGUUGACUAUGAUUUGUCUUGUAGCUUACUCGCUUAUGUUAUUUUACCUACGCUUAGGAUGUUGACGCAUGAGAUAUACGC
rnacentral:rRNA from 1 species